UACGUAGGGUGCGAGCGUUGCCCGGAUUUAUUGGGCGUAAAGGGCGCGUAGGCGGUCACGUACGUCCGUUGUGAAAUCGCUCGGCUCAACUGGGCGGGGUCAGCGGAUACGGCGUGGCUGGAGGCAAGCUAGGGGCAAUGGAAUUCCCGGUGUAGUGGUGGAAUGCGUAGAUAUCGGGAGGAACACCAGUGGCGAAGGCGGUUGCCUGGAGCUUUGCUGACGCUGAUGCGCGAAAGCGUGGGGAGCGAGUCCGG
rnacentral:rRNA from 1 species